GACAAUUUGACCGAGAGGCCUAAGGUGGCAGACUCGAAAUCUGUUGUGCUCUGCACGCGCAGGUUCAAAUCCUGCAAUUGUCG
rfam:Rhizopus oryzae RA 99-880 supercont3.9 genomic scaffold, whole genome shotgun sequence.